UGGGGCGUAGUUCAAUUGGUAGAAUACCCGGCUGUUAACCGGAAGCGUGUAGGUUCGAAUCCUACCGCCCCAG
rnacentral:tRNA from 1 species